rnacentral:rRNA from 1 species
GAUCAAGCGACUUAAGAGCAUUUGGUGGAUGCCUUGGCACUGAGAGGCGAUGAAGGACGUGGUACGCUGCGAUAAGUUACGGGGAGCUGCGAACAAGCUUUGAUCCGUAAAUUUCCGAAUGGGGAAACCCCUGGCUUCGGCCAGACCUGCACAUGAAUACAUAGUGUGUUGGAGCAAACCCGGAGAACUGAAACAUCUAAGUACCCGGAGGAAAGGACAUCAACAGAGACUCCGCUAGUAGUGGCGAGCGAACGCGGAUUAGGCCAAUGCCGCAAGUGUAAGAACUGGAACAGGAUGGAAAGCCUGGCAACAAUGGGUGAUAGCCCCGUACAGGUAGAAAGCAUUUGCGGAUUCGAGUAAGGCGGGACACGUGCAAUCCUGUCUGAACAUGGGAGGACCACCUUCCAAGCCUAAGUACUCCUCAGUGACCGAUAGUGAACUAGUACCGUGAGGGAAAGGUG